rnacentral:rRNA from 1 species
CUGGCGGGGGAUAACCUUCCGAAAGGAGGGCUAAUACCGCAUAAGACCACGCUCUCGAAAGAGAGAGCGGUUAAAGCAGGCCUCUAUAUAUAAGCUUGCACCAUAGGAUGAGCCCGCGGCCCAUCAGCUAGUUGGUAGGGUAAUGGCCUACCAAGGCAAAGACGGGUAGCUGGUCUGAGAGGAUGAUCAGCCACACUGGAACUGAGACACGGUCCAG